CUUAGUGCAAAACACUAAUAGUCCUAGCAAUAGUCAUAGCAAAAUGAUAGCCAACUCGUGAACAUAUUAUGUCUUCAAAACUGCAUCUCUUGAAAGUCUUCAAACCCUGUAAAACAAGAACUAUAAAGCUCGACUACAAAGUGGUUAAACAAUUUUACCGUUAAUACAAUUCUAACAAUGGCCUAACCACUUACCACAAUAAAGUUCAUAUUCAUCAAGUGUAAGUAUAUAUACUUCAAAAAUCAAACAUCAACGUGCAUAGGGGCUGCAAUAAUACAAACAAUAAUGAUCAGGAAAAACACAUAUACAUAAGUGGUUAUUAUAUAUGAUUCUAGAGCAAUAACUCAUUUGAAUAAUCAAAAUCAAUACGAUAAUCAAAACUAAACAGAUUUUAAGAGAUUUUGAUAUGAGAAAUUACCACAUUCUAUUUUCAGAGAAUACUUGAGAUGAAUGACACACAACAUUAUGUGAGCUUUGCUUAAGUUAGAAGAAAACUCAACAAAAUAUUCAUUCUUUCAGUGUUAUAUGGGAGUAUAUCUUAUGUCUGCUUCAUUCUUCCUAUCCUUGGAAGCUUCUCUAAGCCACUUUGUUCAUAAAAUCAGAGUUCUUCUCCUAAGGCAAAUCAACAACUGAAAAGAAAAAAUAGCAUAAGCAACUAAAUGUAGUUAAAAAAAUAACACCUUCAUGAGAUGAUUUAACAUCACUUAUGCACUUAGGCGUUUCAAAUAGACAAUAGGAAGCAGCAUUUCAACCAAAUAUUCGUACCUCAAUCCUAGCCCAAAGCUCAUAAGCUAAAUAAUGAUCCCACUGUUGUAGUACCAUCAAAUACCGCACUGAAAGAAUUUAAUGAUUUGUUAGCAUCCAUAAUCUGAAGGUAGAUGAUUUUUUGAACCCUAUAAACAGGAUGCAAGGCAUAUAAGAAAAAAAAUAUUAUAUUCAAUAAUGUUAGGUUGCUCACAAACGAUUACAGAAAUGGCUGGAAAAGUGUUUAAGGCAUAUAUAUAAUUCUUAUGGGAAGCUCUCCGUAAAUGUAUUCUCAUAAUCUUUUUGUAGUUGUUUAAGUGCUCCAAAAUAUUGUGAUAAAGAGUGAUGUAUCGACGUGCUACAGCUUAUUAGCACCAUAUUAUACAGUAUCAUCUAUCAGAUAGACUAGUUUUGUGUUGUACAUAAUAUACAGAGAGUGUUAACAAGGAUUAUUCUCUUACUAUAUUUUGUAUUAACCAGACAUAGAGUAAACUUCCGAUCUAAGUCAUCAUUAGAGCUUAGAAUCAUUACCUAAUCAAUGUUAGAAGAGAAAACUCAGAUAGGAAUGAACCUAACUCAAUGUUAUUGUUUAUACAAAUCUAAACACUAUGUCACGACCCAAAAUCCCAACCUGUCGUGAUGGCGCCUAUCUCAAUAGGCAAGCCGAUAAUAUCAAUAAACCACAUUUUCUUUUAAGUUUGAAAAUAUAAUAAAUUUGAGUUUAAUAAAAGGCUUCCCAAUUUCCGAUACAAACACUCCCAAAACCUGGUGUCACUAAGUGCAUGAGCAUCUAAUCUGAAUACAAGUCUGCAAAAUACGGUACAUAAUAGUCUGAGACCAAAUGCAGUAAAUAAGUUGAUAGGGAAGGAGAGACAAGGUCUGCAAAACAUGACAGCUACCUCUGAAUCUCCGAAAAAUCAACUAUGCGAAAUAAUCAUCCGCUAUGUCCGGGAACACCUGGAUCUGCACACGAAGUGCAAGGUGUAGUAUGAGUACAACCAACUCAGCAAGCAACAAUAAUAAAUAAAGAACUGAAGAUAGUGACGAGCUACACAGUUAUAGUUCACUUUCAGUAAUUCCAGCAAAGAAUAGAGAUGCUUUCAAAUCCAACAGUUUAAGUCAAAUCAAUUUUAUACAGUUCAAGUUCAUGUAAUCCGGAUAUAAAAUCUUUCAAAGAAUUUCACAACAAUGACAGAUAGCAACUAAGUGCAACAACAAAUAAAAAGCAAGUACAGCCUCUCAGGGCAACAGUCACUUAACUCGUCACAACAGCUCAACCACUCGGCUCUCAGCCCUCAGCACUCUCACUCAAUGGGUACUCGCGCUCACUGGGGGUGUACAGACUCCGGAGGGGCUCCUACAGCCCAAGCGCUAUAAUCUGCACGGCCAACUCACGUGUUGCACGGACAACUCACGUGCUAUAAUAUAAAUAUCUGGAUCUGCACGGCCAACUCACGUGCUGCACGGACAACCCACGUGCUAUAGUAUCAAUAUCUGGAUCCGCACGGCUAACUCACGUGCUGCACGGACAACUCACGUGCUAUAAUAUCCCGCACGGACAACUCACGUGCUAUAAUAUAAUAUCUCACAAUCAGGCCCUCGGCCUUACUCAGUCACAAAUCUCUCCAGUCUCUCGGGCUCUCAAUAAUCAUAAAAUCAGCCCAAACAACAAUGAUAUGAUGCAUCAAGAAUGAACAAUAGAGAUUGAGAUAAAAUAAACAAGUAAACUGUGACUGAAUACAAAACAACAAUUUAAGCAGAUAAUUCAACAUAUAUACGACCUCUGUGGGUCCCAACAAUACUAACAUAUAGCCUAAACAUGGUUUCUAGCAUGACUUAUAGUCAAGUUUCCACAACACAUAGAGAGCACAUAACUAUCAAAAAGUUACUCAGCUUUACAGUUUUCACGGGACGGACCAAGUCACAAUCUCCAUCGGUGCACGCCCACACGUCCGUCACCUAGCAUGUGCGUUACCUCCAAAAGUAAUCACAUGAAACCAAAUUCCGAGGUUUCAUACCCUCGGGACCAGAUUUAAAACUGUUACUUACUUCAAACCGUGUAAUUCUUUAUUCCGAUAUGCCAUUGCCAUGAGAAUUGGUCUCCGAAGCCUCGUAUCUAGCCACAAUUAAUUCGAUUCAGUCAAUACCAAUUAUUGUAAUUAAUUCCAUAAGGAGAUACUAAUUUUUUCAAUAAAAUUCAAAAUUAACUCAAAAAUCGCCCGUGGGGCCCACAUAUCGGAACCCGAGUCCGUCCACCACGAGUCCAACCAUACAAAUUUUACCAAAUUCCGACAUCAACUCGACCUUCAAAUCUUCAAUUAAAGUCUUUGAAGAUUUCUACCAUUUUCAACCCAAUCUUUACCCAUUUGAACUCAACAAUCUUUCCAUAAAACUUAUUGAUAUGUAUAAAUAAUACUAUUAUACCCAAAAAUCAUACUCUUAAUCACUUAUCUUUACCCAAACUCGAAAUUGAAGACUAGGGGUUAGAACCUUACCUCUUGGAUAAAAAUCUUGUGAUAUUUCCUUGUUGGAUUUAAAAACUUGAACAAGAACUUGAUGAACAAAGCACUUGAGCUUCUUCCUCUCUCUAGAAUACUCUUCCUUCUCUCUAAAAAUGUCAGAUUUUUGCUCCAAAAUGAGUCUUAAAACCUAUUUAUCAAAAUGGGAUCUGGUUAUGAAAAUAGAAAAAUUAACCCUCCGAAAGCAGGUCUGCGGUCGCAUAAUGGACCACAGAAUGGGUAUGCAAGCCGCAAAGUUGAUCGCAAAAUCAGUGCCCAGAACUGGGCUCUUCUGGUCCAUUCUGCGACCAGUUUACGGUCGCAGAAGCAGUUUUGCGAUCGCAUAACUAUUUUGCGAUCGCAGAAUUGUAUUUUUCCAGCCUUUGAUAAUUUAGUCAUAACUUUUUGUAAGAAUGUCCAAAUGACAAACGGUCUGAAAAGUUAGAAACUAGACUCAAAGAUAUUUCAUUUGAUAGGUAAUACACCAUAUAAAACUUUGUAUCAUGAGAGUUAUGCUCAUUUGAAGUUGGGUCUUGUGCGAACUCACUUGAACUUUAGUCUAUUAUGAAAUUUCCAACUUCUACAUUCGAUGUCGAAAUUACCGAAUUAAGUCCGAUAGACCUCAAAUUUUGCACACAAGUCAUAAAUGAUAUAACGAACCUAUUCCAAUUUUCGGAAUCAGAUUCCGACCCCGAUAUCAAAAAAUAACCCCCGGUCAAACUUUCCAAAAAUUCAACUUUCGUCAUUUCAAGCCUAAUUCUACUACGGACCUCCAAAAAAAUUUUCGGACACGCUCCUAAGUCCAUAAUCAUCAUACGGAGCUAUUGGAAUCAUUAAAACUCUAUUCCGGGGUCGUUUACACAUAAGUCAACAUCCGAUCAACUAUUUCAACUUAAACUUCCAACAUGAAAUUCAUUCUUCCAAGCUAACUCCGAAAUACCUUAAAACCAAAACCGACAAUUCACACAAGUCAUAAUACCUCGUAGGAAGUUAUGCAAGAUCUCAAAUAGUUGAAAGGAGCGUAAAUGCUCAAAAUGACCGGUCGGGUCGUUACACACCAUAUCAUCCACUGCCUCUGUUUCCUUAAGAUUCUUAGAGGCUUAACAACUACAAUUAAUGGAAUAUGCUAUUCAUUUUCCUAAUGCUACAUAAAUAGCCUCUUUCUCACCAUAAGUUGAGAAAUCGAGUUCAUUUGCAGUGUACAUAAAAAUAAAGCUAUGUGACUAUUAUGUUUACUUCAAAUGUGCAAGAAUGAAUAUCUUUCAACAUACAAUUGAAGUGCUUAACAAGAGUAGUAUGACAAGAUUUAAUUCGAACUAGGUUCGGUACUUUUCGCCCAGAUCCGGUAAAUCCAGUAGGUGUUGCUCUAUUCUUUCAUUCUUUUAAGGUUUGUUUCUCUGCACCCAGAGUAAUUAAAACACCAGCAUUUAACAUUAAAUCUAGCUUUAGAUAAUGCUCCAAGGAAUAUAUUCAAUUAUCCCCCAAAUAUUUUUUAAAAGGAAUACUUCAAGAAAGGGAGUAAUCUAGUCUAACAAAAUUGACCAAUCUAUGUAGACCAAACGAAAAAUAAACUUUAAUUCUGAAUACAAGAUAUAAAAAGCACUAAAAGCAAAUGCACUAACCAAUAAGAAAAACUCUGCACCCAUGAGAAGCCGUGGACAAAAUAGCCGACUAACGACAGAAAUCAGUGGUGGGUGAACUAAAUCAUCACUUUGAUUGAGGAAAUCAGCAAGAAAAUGGCAAUGGAAAACCAGAAAUAGAAAGAAAUCGCCACUUUGAUAGAAAAUGGCGAUGGUCUAGGUUUUGGAGAGGUGACAAAAAAACAUGUGCUUUUAUUUCUUUAAUGUUCAGAAACUUUUAUUGUUUUAUUUUUUUUAUAAUUCUUUAGAGGUUAAUCGCCAUUAUUCCCGCUCAACUUAGAGAAUU
rnacentral:lncRNA from 1 species